rnacentral:rRNA from 1 species
CCUACGGGGGGCAGCAGUGAGGAAUAUUGGUCAAUGGACGGAAGUCUGAACCAGCCAUGCCGCGUGCAGGAAGACGGCCCUAUGAGUUGUAAACCGCUUUUGUACAAGGGUAAACCUGAAUACGUGUAUUCAGCUGAAAGUACUGUACGAAUAAGGAUCGGCUAACUCCGUGCCAGCAGCCGCGGUAACAAGGAGGAUCCAAGCGUUAUCCGGAUUUAUUGGGUUUAAAGGGUGCGUAGGCGGAGUGAUAAGUUAGGUGAAAUGUACGAGCUUAACUCGGGAACUGCCUCUAAUACUGUUGAUCGAGAGAGUAGGUGCAGUAGGCGGAAUGUAUGGUGUAGCGGUGAAAUGCUGAGAGAUCAUACAGAACACCGAUUGCGAAGGCAGCAUACCAAUCUAUAUCUGACGUUGAGGCACGAAAGCGUGGGGAGCAAACAGGAUUAGAUACCCCAGUAGUC